CGGACGCAAAGCCGCGAGGCGGAGCAAAUCCGAAAAAGACCGGUCUCAGUUCGGAUUGCAGGCUGCAAUUCGCCUGCAUGAAGUCGGAAUCGCUAGUAAUCGCAGGUCAGCAUACCGCGGUGAAUACGUUCCCGGGCCUU
rnacentral:rRNA from 1 species